rnacentral:lncRNA from 1 species
CGGAGUCUUGUCUUGGCGUCCUUCCUUUCUCUCUGCCCCAUCUCCACCCCGCUGCUCUUUCAGGUUUGAGACACUGCUGGACAGUGCUCUGCGUCGCCGGCUCGCGACAUCCACGUGCCUGCAUUUGUGUGCAUGUGUGGGACUUUCCGUACACGUCUGUGUGUGCGUGUGUGUGUGACUCCCUUGACUGACACGGCAGCCCUGGGACAGCCCUAUCCCCAGCCCUCCCUAGGCCCAGGCAGCCCCUUGCAUAGGAGCCGCAAGUGCGAAGCCCCCACAGGGCAGCGCACGUCCUGAGCCGGCCGCAUCCCAGCUGGUCCCUCCCUCACCCUGCAGUGUAGGCGAUGACCCAUUUCCUUUCAUUUUGCCUUUUGGAUUCUCUUGUUUUCUUCUCCCUUUCCUCUAUUGGUAUGUGCCUGAGCUACAUAAACAAGCACACGCAUGUGCGGAACUGGUGCACCUAUAGCAUCUGGACGCUUUUACUUCCUCCAUCCCGUCUCCCCAUCUCCACCGGACCCGCUUUUGAAACGGAGGAACCAAGGCUCUGGAGAGGAGGAGCUCCUUCCGUCAUAUUCAUGUUUGCGCUCAGCGAACUCUCCAGCCCUGCUCCAUCAGCCUUGUUCCGGGAGGUUUCCGGGGUGCUCCUGCCCUCAGUCAGCUCUGCUUCCAGAUCUGCGGCCCAGGCCAGCACCCCUGACCCUGCUGGCUGGGUCCCCGUCACCCACCCCCUCUCAGAGCAAGGAAACUGAGGCUGAGCAGGGAGCGAGGAAAGACCUGUUUCUUAUGACUGCACACACGAGCAAGGUGUUCUGACUGCACCUCACAGAAGAGUAAACGGAGGCUGGGCGCUCUCCUAGCACUUGCCCCACGUAUAAGCUGGUAAGAAGUGAAGCUGACCCCGGGGCUAAAUUUAAGUCAAGACCAAAACACGUGGGCGAUCACAGACCUGCUCUGCCAGUAUUGUCUUCGCACUGGUGAGUACAGCACCCUCACGAUCCAGUCACCUUCCAAAGCUGCACUUGGACCACCUGCGGUCUUUGGGGAAUACCUUGACUCAACCAUGACAACGAGCCAGUUACUCCAGGCUAUAAGGAGGGGUACGGCCCUCAGGGGUUUGAGGACCCAGGAGGGCCGUGCACACAGCCCCCAGCUGGCAGUGUCCACAUGCCCCUCCUGUGGCUGCAUCGCAACCCCU